rnacentral:sRNA from 1 species
UGCAACGGUAAAAAGUUUUUAGGACCAUAAACUUAGGGGGAAAUAAAAAAUGGGAACAAUCGUAUGUCAAGUUUGUGAAGCAACAAUUGCACACUUUGAAGAUGAAAAGACAACAGUACUUUACGGGAAAUGUGGAACUCAUUGUGAGUGUAAUCAUAAGGAGCAUACGAAAGCCUA